CAGAUUAAUUGCGACAACCAUACUGCACUCAAUGGAUUCAACAAUUCUGGAGUUCCUGAGAAAAUUCUCUUCUGUCGAAAGCAGAAACAGAUCAGCGAAGCAUGAUUUAUCACAGCGUCAAACAGCGGAAAUGAAGUGCAGAUUUAUUAUGGAGAAACAUCUUGAUUGUUAACCCUUUCCUCCCCUCUUCUGUCCUGCUGGGAUAAAGGUCAAUCAAUAGGGUCCCUCAUCAUUCUUAAGUGUGACCUCAGAGCGUUGGCAAUGGACUAUGAUUGACAAGUUACAGACCAGCCUGAUCAGUCAACUCCUACACUCCAAGCUGGGAUCCUUGGAAUACGAGCAGAGGCUACUUUCAAGCAUUGGAUGAUCUCUGCCAAAUUCUCAAUGAACGAGCACACAAACAGGGGACCCAUGUGUCAGUUGUCCUGCUUCACUUGUGGACGGUGGGAGAUGAUCCGAAGUGUGAUUAUGGCCACAAAUCCCAGACCAUGGAAGGCAUCAUAUCAAGCUGCCCACUAAGAUUGAUUGUGGAAGGUACCUCGUUUCCCCAUUCACCAUCUCAGACAGCCAUCGAAUGGAUAGCCAAACUGGACAUCUGGUUCUGAUGACCAGUCCCCAACCUGAAACAUUAACUCUGCUUCUCUCGCCACAGAAGCUGCCAGACAAGAUGAGUAUGUCCAGCAUUUUCUGUUUUUAUAUCGGAUUUCCAGCAUCCACAAUAUUUUGCUUUGCAGCCAUCCCAUUACGAGCUAUUCCUGCCACAUGUAAACAGUAGUGGUAAAUUUGAUUAAAGUUACAAUGCUGGCCACUU